GGGGUGGGGGCCGGGGGAACAGCCAGGGCAUUGUCGCCGAGCCGGGAGGCUCUGUGUGUUCCGUGGCUUUCCCAGCUCUCUGACAGUCACAAGCACUGAGGUUUGGGGCUUCCACCCCUUGACAGCAGCUGAACCUUAGCCGGCCGAUCGAGGAGCAGGGCCCCCUGGACGUCAUCAUCCACAAGCUGACUGACGUCAUCCUUGAAGCCGACCAGAAUGAUAGCCAGUCCCUGGAGCUGGUGCACAGGUUCCAGGAGUACAUCGAUGCCCACCCUGAGACCAUCGUCCUGGACCCGCUCCCUGCCAUCAGAACCCUGCUUGACCGCUCCAAGUCCUAUGAGCUCAUCCGGAAGAUUGAGGCCUACAUGGAAGACGACAGGAUCUGCUCGC
rnacentral:lncRNA from 1 species